rnacentral:rRNA from 1 species
UAGGUUUUACAUGGUGUAUAAAUGAAAGUGCAAGCAUUCCACCUCAAGAGUAAUGUGGCAACGCAGGAACUGAAAUCAUUAGACCGUGUCUGAAACCAGUAGUGAAGUAUGUUAUUUAAUUCGAUGAUCCUCGAAAAACCUUACCACAAUUUGAAUAUUAUUUAUUUAAAUAAUACAAGCGUUGCACGGCUGUCUUCAGUUAAUGUCGUGAGAUUUUGGUUAGAUUCAUUAAUUAACGAAAACCCAUNCUUUAUUUAUUAUCU